ACCGUGAUAGUAACUGGAGCCGCAUCUGCCAGCGUUGACAAAUCAACCGGGUCGAAAUAGAUAGUUAUGGUGGAGACAUCUUCCUUCCCUGAAUCAGCCUUCUCAAACCUGAGGCUUCCCUCAUCCAUCAGCCUCUGGACAGCCUCCCUUAACAAUAUACACCCAUAAGGAGCAACAGUGCACGCAGCACAACAUUCAUCACAACCCGG
rnacentral:lncRNA from 1 species